rnacentral:ncRNA from 2 species
UGCCAAAUCGCAGGAGAGUGAGUUUAAUCUCUGCCGAAGGCGCAAACUCCCAUAAACGCUCAGGCUCAUGGACUGCGAACAACGA